GAGAAUCAGAGGACGGAACGGGCAGCCGUCGCCAGAUGGUCGAGUGACCUGAAUAGGAGAUGCAGGAAUGUCACCCUGCCUAUUCUC
ncrna:unclassified sequences skipping-rope RNA